GGUUAUUUGAAUCUUUAGAAUAUUGGCUGCAGAGAAAGAAACAAAUAAACCUCUGUGCAGAAGAAGCAUAAUUAUAAUAAGAGCAAUGAUGGGAACAGUUGAUACAAGUGAUAGUGAGAAAGGGAUUUGUGAUGAACUAACCUACAACCCCAUCAAUGGAGAUGUUAGAUGCAGAAGCCAAUAAGGAACUUGAUGCUGGAGCUAAGGUUUUUCUCAAAUCUAAAGGUUUAACAAGUGUGGCGUAAUCAGUCUCCGAUUCGAUGUCGGUGUUAAAGAGAUCGAAAGUUGAGCAGCUAGACUCCUCCCCUCAAGACAGUUUGGAUAUAUUGUGUUGACUACCUCUGCCGGCAUCAUGGAUCACGAAGAGGCCAGGAGAAAGGAUGCUGGUGGUAAAGUUCUUGGGUUUUUCUACUAGGCGAGUAUUUUUGUUUUUGAUAAAUUGUUGCUCUAAAUUUCAAUUUUGAGAUGAGGUUUACCAGUUGGAGUGGAUGAUAUUCUUUUACUUUCAUGGUGGUAUGAUAGCGAGAGGUGUUUUUCGUGUGCACUUUGUUUGCUUAAUAGGACUUCUUUAUCAUUAUUUUUCUUAUACCAAAAUAUACUCCAGGAUUGUUUUAUGUUUUAAACUUUGAAGACUUGGAUUA